AUUGAACGCUGGCGGCAGGCCUAACACAUGCAAGUCGAACGAGUGGCGGACGGGUGAGUAAUGUCUGGGAAACUGCCUGAUGGAGGGGGAUAACUACUGGAAACGGUAGCUAAUACCGCAUACCAUCGGAUGUGCCCAGAUGGGAUUAGCUAGUAGGUGGGGUAACGGCUCACCUAGGCGACGAUCCCUAGCUGGUCUGAGAGGAUGCCCAGCCACACUGGAACUGAGAAACGGUCCAGACGCCUACGGGAGGGAGCAGUGGGGAAUAUGUCACAAUGGGCGAAAGCCUGAGGCAGCCAUGCAGCGUGUAUGAAGAAGGCCUUCGGGUUGUAAAGUACUUUCAGCGGGGAGGCGUUACCCGCAGAAGAAGCACCGGCUAACUCCGUGCCAGCAGCCGCGGUAAUAC
rnacentral:rRNA from 1 species